rnacentral:rRNA from 1 species
GGACGAACGCUGGCGGCGUGCUUAACACAUGCAAGUCGAACGGAAAGGCCCUGCUUUUGUGGGGUGCUCGAGUGGCGAACGGGUGAGUAACACGUGAGUAACCUGCCCUUGACUUUGGGAUAACUUCAGGAAACUGGGGCUAAUACCGGAUAGGAGCUCCUGCUGCAUGGUGGGGGUUGGAAAGUUUCGGCGGUUGGGGAUGGACUCGCGGCUUAUCAGCUUGUUGGUGGGGUAGUGGCUUACCAAGGCUUUGACGGGUAGCCGGCCUGAGAGGGUGACCGGCCACAUGGGGACUGAGAUACGGCCCAGACGCCUACGGGAGGCAGCAGGGGGGAAUAUUGCACAAUGGGCGGAAGCCUGAUGCAGCAACGCCGCGUGCGGGAUGACGGCCUUCGGGUGGUAAACCGCUUUCGCCUGUGACGAAGCGGGAGUGACGGUAAUGGGUAAAGAAGCACCGGCUAACUACGUG